rnacentral:misc_RNA from 1 species
UUUCCGUAGGUGAACCAGCGGAGGGAUCAUUAUUGUAUAGCCAAGGUGCGAGGGCAUCGUCUGCGCCGCAAAUUCGGGCGCUCCCGAGGGUCCUCACCCACAUCCAUCUCACCCCUAUCUGCACCGCCGCGUGGGUCCCCCUCUAACUUUUUCGGUUGAGGGCUUCCGUUUUCACUCAGUCUUUGUAUACUGUAAACUAUGUAUUAUGUGUUUUUUCGUUCACGCAUUCAAUACAACUUUCAACAACGGAUCUCUUGGCUCUCGCAACUCUGAAGACCG